UCUACCCUAAAGUUUGGAAUAACCGGCCGAAAGGCUGGCUAAUACCGGAUAGAGCGACGGAAUCCGCAAUCGGAUUUUCGGGAAAGGGAGCUCGCAAGAGCCUUCGCUUUAGGAUGAGUCUGCGUCUCAUUAGCUAGUUGGUGGGGUAAUGGCCCACCAAGGCAUUGAUGGGUAGCUGGUCUGAGAGGAUGAUCAGCCACACUGGAACUGAAACACGGUCCAG
rnacentral:rRNA from 1 species